CCUUCUUGCAAUGGGCAAAGAGAUACCUUGGGCGAUGGGGUUGUUCUUACAUCAGCCAGGGGCAGAGCAGGUGACAGUCCUUUGUUCAUCCUAGCUUGAUACCUGGCUUGGUGGCCAAAGCUGUUUUAUGCCUAGGAUAAAAAA